GGAGGGCUGUCCGAGUGGUCUAUGGUGGCUGACUUGAAAUCAGCCGGGCGAAAGCCCCGGGGGUUCGAAUCCCUCGCCCUCCGCCA
rnacentral:tRNA from 1 species